GGCUCAGGAUGAACGCUGGCGGCGUGCUUAACACAUGCAAGUCGAGCGAAGCACUUAAGUUUGAUUCUUCGGAUGAAGACUUUUGUGACUGAGCGGCGGACGGGUGAGUAACGCGUGGGUAACCUGCCUCAUACAGGGGGAUAACAGUUAGAAAUGACUGCUAAUACCGCAUAAGACCACGGUACCGCAUGGUACAGUGGUAAAAACUCCGGUGGUAUGAGAUGGACCCGCGUCUGAUUAGGUAGUUGGUGGGGUAACGGCCUACCAAGCCGACGAUCAGUAGCCGACCUGAGAGGGUGACCGGCCACAUUGGGACUGAGACACGGCCCAGACUCCUACGGGAGGCAGCAGUGGGGAAUAUUGCACAAUGGAGGAAACUCUGAUGCAGCGACGCCGCGUGAAGGAUGAAGUAUUUCGGUAUGUAAACUUCUAUCAGCAGGGAAGAAAAUGACGGUACCUGACUAAGAAGCCCCGGCUAACUACUUGCCAGCAGCCGCGGUAAUACGUAGGGGGCAAGCGUUAUCCGGAUUUACUGGGUGUAAAGGGAGCGUAGACGGCACGGCAAGCCAGAUGUGAAAGCCCGGGGCUCAACCCCGGGACUGCAUUUGGAACUGCUGAGCUAGAGUGUCGGAGAGGCAAGUGGAAUUCCUAGUGUAGCGGUGAAAUGCGUAGAUAUUAGGAGGAACACCAGUGGCGAAGGCGGCUUGCUGGACGAUGACUGACGUUGAGGCUCGAAAGCGUGGGGAGCAAACAGGAUUAGAUACCCUGGUAGUCCACGCCGUAAACGAU
rnacentral:rRNA from 1 species